rnacentral:rRNA from 1 species
CAGCCGCCACGGGAAUACGUAGGGUGCGAGCGUUAAUCGGAAUUACUGGGCGUAAAGCGUGCGCAGGCGGUUGUGUAAGACAGGUGUGAAAUCCCCGGGCUUAACCUGGGAACUGCGCUUGUGACUGCACAGCUAGAGUAUGGCAGAGGGGGGUGGAAUUCCACGUGUAGCAGUGAAAUGCGUAGAGAUGUGGAGGAACACCGAUGGCGAAGGCAGCCCCCUGGGCCAAUACUGACGCUCAUGCACGAAAGCGUGGGGAGCAAACAGGAUUAGAUACCCCUGUAGUCCCUGUCUCUUAUAC